rnacentral:rRNA from 1 species
GGUAUCCUGUCUGAAUAUGGGGGGACCAUCCUCCAAGGCUAAAUACUCCUGACUGACCGAUAGUGAACCAGUACCGUGAGGGAAAGGCGAAAAGAACCCCGGCGAGGGGAGUGAAAAAGAACCUGAAACCGUGUACGUACAAGCAGUGGGAGCCUCUUAAUGGGGUGACUGCGUACCUUUUGUAUAAUGGGUCAGCGACUUAUAUUCUGUAGCAAGGUUAACCGAAUAGGGGAGCCGAAGGGAAACCGAGUCUUAACUGGGCGUUAAGUUGCAGGGUAUAGACCCGAAACCCGGUGAUCUAGCCAUGGGCAGGUUGAAGGUUGGGUAACACUAACUGGAGGACCGAACCGACUAAUGUUGAAAAAUUAGCGGAUGACUUGUGGCUGGGGGUGAAAGGCCAAUCAAACCGGGAGAUAGCUGGUUCUCCCCGAAAGCUAUUUAGGUAGCGCCUCGUGAAUUCAUCUCCGGGGGUAGAGCACUGUUUCGGCAAGGGGGUCAUCCCGACUUACCAACCCGAUGCAAACUGCGAAUACCGGAGAAUGUUAUCACGGGAGACACACGGCGGGUGCUAACGUCCGUCGUGAAGAGGGAAACAACCCAGACCGCCAGCUAAGGUCCCAAAGUCAUGGUUAAGUGGGAAACGAUGUGGGAAGGCCCAGACAGCCAGGAUGUUGGCUUAGAAGCAGCCAUCAUUUAAAGAAAGCGUAAUAGCUCACUGGUCGAGUCGGCCUGCGCGGAAGAUGUAACGGGGCUAAACCAUGCACCGAAGCUGCGGCAGCGACACUAUGUGUUGUUGGGUAGGGGAGCGUUCUGUAAGCCUGUGAAGGUGGCCUGUGAGGGUUGCUGGAGGUAUCAGAAGUGCGAAUGCUGACAUAAGUAACGAUAAAGCGGGUGAAAAGCCCGCUCGCCGGAAGACCAAGGGUUCCUGUCCAACGUUAAUCGGGGCAGGGUGAGUCGACCCCUAAGGCGAGGCCGAAAGGCGUAGUCGAUGGGAAACAGGUUAAUAUUCCUGUACUUGGUGUUACUGCGAAGGGGGGACGGAGAAGGCUAUGUUGGCCGGGCGACGGUUGUCCCGGUUUAAGCGUGUAGGCUGGUUUUCCAGGCAAAUCCGGAAAACCAAGGCUGAGGCGUGAUGACGAGGCACUACGGUGCUGAAGCGACAAAUGCCCUGCUUCCAGGAAAAGCCUCUAAGCAUCAGGUAACAUCAAAUCGUACCCCAAACCGACACAGGUGGUCAGGUAGAGAAUACCAAGGCGCUUGAGAGAACUCGGGUGAAGGAACUAGGCAAAAUGGUGCCGUAACUUCGGGAGAAGGCACGCUGAUAUGUAGGUGAAGCGACUUGCUCGUGGAGCUGAAAUCAGUCGAAGAUACCAGCUGGCUGCAACUGUUUAUUAAAAACACAGCACUGUGCAAACACGAAAGUGGACGUAUACGGUGUGACGCCUGCCCGGUGCCGGAAGGUUAAUUGAUGGGGUUAGCGGUAACGCGAAGCUCUUGAUCGAAGCCCCGGUAAACGGCGGCCGUAACUAUAACGGUCCUAAGGUAGCGAAAUUCCUUGUCGGGUAAGUUCCGACCUGCACGAAUGGCGUAAUGAUGGCCAGGCUGUCUCCACCCGAGACUCAGUGAAAUUGAACUCGCUGUGAAGAUGCAGUGUACCCGCGGCAAGACGGAAAGACCCCGUGAACCUUUACUAUAGCUUGACACUGAACAUUGAGCCUUGAUGUGUAGGAUAGGUGGGAGGCUUUGAAGUGUGGACGCCAGUCUGCAUGGAGCCGACCUUGAAAUACCACCCUUUAAUGUUUGAUGUUCUAACGUUGGCCCGUAAUCCGGGUUGCGGACAGUGUCUGGUGGGUAGUUUGACUGGGGCGGUCUCCUCCUAAAGAGUAACGGAGGAGCACGAAGGUUGGCUAAUCCUGGUCGGACAUCAGGAGGUUAGUGCAAUGGCAUAAGCCAGCUUGACUGCGAGCGUGACGGCGCGAGCAGGUGCGAAAGCAGGUCAUAGUGAUCCGGUGGUUCUGAAUGGAAGGGCCAUCGCUCAACGGAUAAAAGGUACUCCGGGGAUAACAGGCUGAUACCGCCCAAGAGUUCAUAUCGACGGCGGUGUUUGGCACCUCGAUGUCGGCUCAUCACAUCCUGGGGCUGAAGUAGGUCCCAAGGGUAUGGCUGUUCGCCAUUUAAAGUGGUACGCGAGCUGGGUUUAGAACGUCGUGAGACAGUUCGGUCCCUAUCUGCCGUGGGCGCUGGAGAACUGAGGGGGGCUGCUCCUAGUACGAGAGGACCGGAGUGGACGCAUCACUGGUGUUCGGGUUGUCAUGCCAAUGGCACUGCCCGGUAGCUAAAUGCGGAAGAGAUAAGUGCUGAAAGCAUCUAAGCACGAAACUUGCCCCGAGAUG